rnacentral:rRNA from 3 species
UACAGAGACUGCAAGCGUUAUUCGGAUUCACUGGGCGUAAAGGGUGCGCAGGUGGCCGUGUGUGUCAGAUGUGAAAUCCCGGGGCUUAACUCCGGAACUGCGUCUGAAACUACACGGCUAGAGCAUUGGAGAGGGUAGUGGAAUUCACGGUGUAGCAGUGAAAUGCGUAGAUAUCGUGAGGAACACCAGAGGCGAAGGCGACUACCUGGACAAUAGCUGACACUCAGGCACGAAAGCGUGGGGAGCCAAAGGG